GGCCUUGGGGGCUGACAUUUCAGCUUUCAAUUUGAAUGAUUCCGGUGAUGGUUCAUCUGCCAAGGACGUUGUUGCCGUGGCUUCUGACUUGAAGAUCUUGCUUAACGGUUCUAAAUUUGUUAACCGUGAGGGUGAUGAACCUGCAGUUUCUGGUGUUCCCGUGGUGCACGGCAAGUUUAGGGAGAUUUCCCGACUCCUGCACUCCAGCACCCGUGUCCAAUUGAACUCUGCAACUGUAUCCAAUUCUGGAUCUUCUGGUACAGCCAGCUCCAUGUGCACCACGCUGUUUUCCUUGGCUGUGGCCCUCAAGGAUUUGGGUAACAUCAGUUAUAACCGAGCAAAGCGCAUUGUCGAUUCUCGCAUUACUGGAGAUGAUGAAUUUCCUGCAAUGCUGAUAAAAGAAUGUCCUCGCCCUGAUCAGCUAAAAGCUCUUUUCGCAUCUUUGGUGUCAGCUCACUCGGAUGAGGAAUAUGUUAAGUUCUCACAUGAUGUCAGCUCUUUACUGGUGAUGGUAGAGAAAAUAAUUUCCUGGGAAGCCCUGGCUGCUUUCCUUUCCCUUGAAGGAAGGGACUUCAUUCCUUCAGGCGAUACGAGUGUAGGCGAAGACAGUGCAAAGACAGCAGCUAAAAAAGGAGCAAAGAAAAAGAAGAUUCUUGGUAAAGGUACCACCGCUCUGGUGCAGUUUUUGAAGGAUAGGCUGCUGAGCAUGCCAAUUCAGACUGAAGCGUCCCAGACUGUCAUGGCUUUGGAGAAUUUGGUUCGCAAUUUCUUGUCACUACUGGACCCAAAGGACUUGGGAUUUGACACUUUACUGAAAAAGGUGAAAGAUAUAGUGGAAAGCAAUGAAAGCCGCCGGUUGCCUAAACUACCAAAGGGAACACGUGAUUUUGCAAAGGAACAGAUGGCUAUAAGAGAGAGAGCUUUCUCAAUUAUCACUGAAGUUUUUAAAAGACACGGUGCUGCUGCUUUGGACACUCCUGCUUUUGAAAUGCGAGAGACUCUGAUGGGCAAAUAUGGAGAAGACUCAAAAUUGAUAUAUGAUCUAGCGGAUCAGGGAGGAGAACUUUGUUCUCUUCGUUAUGACCUGACAGUACCAUUUGCUAGAUAUGUAGCAAUGAAUGGUCUGACAUCCUUCAAGCGUUAU
rnacentral:misc_RNA from 1 species